AUGAACAAUCAAUAGGCAGAAAGCAAGAUAGAGGCUUCCUCAGCUUUUGGAUCGACAAUCGACAGCUGGGAGACUAUUUUUUGCUAUGGUUGACUAAAUAUGGUCAGGGAAGAGAGAGGCACAAGAGAGCCUGUUUGCCUGGGAGUGCAUGUUUCAAAUGCUUAGCUGCCUAUAAAGCUGUAACAGUUUAGCCUGUAGCCACUGAGGGAAGAAUUUAAGUUAACAUCUGUAGUGACCAUGUGGAAAUCCUGACCUUGCUUGCAGACUUGACCUCUGGAUAUGACAAGGUGAGAUUCUGUGUUCACUGAUACUUCCCUCUGACUUCACCGACUUAUGAAAAGAAGUGCUGAAUCAGCGGAUUGAGUGAAGGAACAAUCAAGAUGAGAUGGCUGCUGCUGAUGUGACUCUCUAGGUCAUUACCUUUCUUCCUGCUGCAAAUGCUGCAUGACACUAAUCUCACAGGAUCUAGAAGCACACUACAAAAUAAGAAGAAUUUCACUCUGAAGACUCUGAAGAAAUACUAGGCUGAUCUUAUAAAUUUCUGAAACACACUCUGUAAAAACUCCACUGAUUCUAUAAAGCUAUUGCAAAAAGGACCAAACCAGGAUAAAGUACAACAGAUAACUGGUCAAUGUUUAGAAGUUUAUGUCCACCAACAAGGAACCAUAAAUGAAUGGCAUUAAUGCAAUGCUUCAGGUAAAUUUUUUAUGAAGUUUAGUCUUUGAUUGUUUCUACAAAUGAUCUACCAUUGUUCUACUUCGGUAAGCUGAAUGUUUUACUAACAAAUGGGAAAACAAUUCAUGUUUUUACAGCUAACAACUUUGUAAUACCUACUCAGAGUACAUACUUCUUUAUGUACCCAUAUGAACAUACAAUGCUAUGGAAUGUAAAGAAGUAUGUAUUUUUGGUAGGCAAUAAACCGCCAAGAGGAAAAUAAACUGCAGCUAAAAGAAGCCCUUGCUUCUUUCCAUGUAAAUGACCUUCAUAUGGUAUAUUAACCUAGAAUCACAGAGAUGACCUUUGGGAAUAACAACAUCAUAAAAUGUACCUACUGCUUAUAGAUGAAAACUAAAUGUCACUAAGAUUUAUAUUUUAUAAAGAAAAAAGCUCUACUGAAAUAGAUUUAAAAUUAUCAUGAAACUCCUUUCAAAUCUUUUACAUUUAAA